rnacentral:lncRNA from 1 species
CAACAAAUAGAUGCCAUUAUAGAAAUAUAGUUUUAACUAAAACAGAUGCUUCUUAGUAGCAGUAUAAAAUAUUUGCCUGCUUUCUUAAGGCCACCUUUGAAUAGUAUAAACUGGGCAUUAGAGAAUCGACUUUGGUUCUGUGGUUUAGUUAUAAUUAAUGAAUUUUCUAUUGUAAAAAGGAAUUUUUCUUGUGAGAGGAGUAACUUAUCAUGAGAAUGAUUGUUGUUUCCAUUAUUUCCAG